rnacentral:lncRNA from 1 species
AUGGGAAAUUGUGAUACAUUUAAUUUUUUUCACAUUUACCUCCCCGCUCUGUCUGGAAGAAUUGAGAUAGGAGAAGAAGGACAGCAGAGGAGGAAUCCGACUGUGUCUGAUUCAUGCAAGUUUACAGCAGAUGACAACAGUGCCAAUGGGCUAAAAAACCCCACAGUCGGGCCUUCCUGGAAUGCAGCAAAGACAACAGCGGUGUCGCCCACCAGCACUGAAAUAGGCAGUAAGAGCCAAACAACCACAACCUUAAGGGAAACUUCAGAGAAAAUUUCCACGUAUACUGAGAUCAGAAAUGGUGAAAGCAGACAAACUCCUAACGGGAGCUCUUCCCUGGAAACUGUGCCACAGCAUGGAGAUGGGUAAGAAGUUGAGAAAGGCUGGUCUAUAUUGCUGAACAUAAGGCAUAACCCGGUUUUUUGCUUAGAUAUGUUAUAUACCUGCUAGUGGUCUCAAACAGAUGGGAUCUCUGCAGUCAUGGUCCUGGGCUGCUCUCCAAGAGCAUCAUCUGUUGGCUAGGCUGAAACUUGUCAUUUUUUUUUCUGUUCCUUCCUCAGUGAAGAUAGAGGUAGAAAUCUUCCCAGCUUUAUAUCCUGGUGAAAAAAAAAAGUCUAGCAUGCUUGAGAAAAGGUAGAGUCUGGUAGAGACUAUAUUGAUCAUUCAGCUGAGGCCCAUAAAUAUAUCCUUGUAUGUCAUUGCAGGGACAGCCUGACUACAAUGCACUCAUUGUGCUUAGGG